AAGAGUCUCCGAAAGCCAGCGCAAACAAACUAGCAAGCUACGGAGUUUGCCGCCAAUGUAUUUCUUGUAAAGUGUAUAAAAACGAAUAUGGAAGCUGGACAAAUAAGAUGCCAAAAACCAACGACUUUCAUGAUGUAUUAGACAGGAAGGAGGAACUGGUUUUCUCCUCCAUUUGAAAACCGGGACUUACCAGCACUAUACUGUCUGUUUCCAAUCAAAGCAAGUCAUCAGAAUCAGAAACGAGGCAGCCAGUCAGGGAAGGAGAAAAACUAUCUAUGGCAACGCUGCUGUCACUUUCACUCAUUGAGACAUGUUUCUCUGGGUGCAUCAAGCUUCGUUAAUGACCCGCCUCCUUGGUCCAUAUACCCCACCGUGAUUGUGAGAGGAAGCCGGAGUACCCGGAGAGAACCCACGCAGUCACCGGGAGAACAUGCAAACUCCACACAGAAAGAUCCCGAGCCCGGGAUGGAACCCAGGACUGCUCAGGUCCUUCAUAUUGUGAGGCACACGGACUAACCCCUGUUCCACUGUGCUGCCGAGCUGUAUUUCCAUAUUUACUUAUUUGUGGAUGCCUGUAACGGAUUUGGCACUUCUGGUUCGCCCCGUCGCUAAUAAACAAAUUACAAUGGAAA